rnacentral:lncRNA from 1 species
GUUUUCCAAAGUGGUUUCUGAUUUUCGACUUAUCAGCCAGGACAUUUUUAGUGUUUUAAGUCUAAGUUGUUGACAUUUUGCUUUAAUGUGGUUUUUCCAUGUUAAUCUGCGGUCGAGAUGCAAGCCGAGAUACUUCACACAGGUACUUUGUGGAACUGGGUAAAGCUUUGAAAUGUAAAAAUGUUGAUUUUUGUGAGGUAUUUU